CACGGUAAACGAUGGAUGCCCGCUGUUUGCGAUAUACUGUGAGCGGCCAAGAGAAAUCGUUAAGCAUCCCACCUGGGGAGUACGCCGGCAACGGUGAAACUCAAAGGAAUUGACGGGGGCCCGCACAAGCGGAGGAACAUGUGGUUUAAUUCGAUGAUACGCGAGGAACCUUACCCGGGCUUGAACUGCAGCGGAAGGAUACAGAGAUGUUGACGCCCUUCGGGGCCGCUGUGGAGGUGCUGCAUGGUUGUCGUCAGCUCGUGCCGUGAGGUGUCGGCUUAAGUGCCAUAACGAGCGCAACCCUUUUCUUUAGUUGUCAUCAGGUGAUGCUGGGCACUCUGGAGAUACUGCCACCGUAAGGUGUGAGGAAGGUGGGGAUGACGUCAAAUCAGCACGGCCCUUACGUCCGGGGCUACACACGUGUUACAAUGGGAGGUACAGAGAGUUGGUGUGUCGCAAGUCACAUCUAAUCCUAAAAGCCUUCCUCAGUUCGGAUUGGGGUCUGCAACCCGACC
rnacentral:rRNA from 1 species